rnacentral:rRNA from 1 species
UACGAAGGGUGCAAACGUUGCUCGGAAUUAUUGGGCGUAAAGAGCUCGUAGGCGGCUUGUCACGUCGGGUGUGAAAGCCCGGGGCUUAACCCCGGGUCUGCAUUCGAUACGGGCUAGCUAGAGUGUGGUAGGGGAGAUCGGAAUUCCUGGUGUAGCGGUGAAAUGCGCAGAUAUCAGGAGGAACACCGGUGGCGAAGGCGGGUCUCUGGGCCGAUACUGACGCUGAGGAGCGAAAGCGUGGGGAGCGAACAGG